AUGCAGUCGAACGGUAACAGGCCUUCGGGUGCUGACGAGUGGCGAACGGGUGAGUAAUGUAUCGGAACGUGCCCAGUAGUGGGGGAUAGCCCGGCGAAAGCCGGAUUAAUACCGCAUGAGAACUGAGGUUGAAAGCGGGGGACCUUCGGGCCUCGCGCUACUGGAGCGGCUGAUAUCAGAUUAGGUAGUUGGUGGGGUAAAGGCUCACCAAGCCUGCGAUCUGUAGCUGGUCUGAGAGGACGACCAGCCACACUGGGACUGAGACACGGCCCAGACUCCUACGGGAGGCAGCAGUGGGGAAUUUUGGACAAUGGGCGCAAGCCUGAUCCAGCAAUGCCGCGUGCAGGACGAAGGCCUUCGGGUUGUAAACUGCUUUUGUACAGAACGAAAAGCCUUGGGUGAAUACCCUGAGGACAUGACGGUACUGUAAGAAUAAGCACCGGCUAACUACGUGCCAG
rnacentral:rRNA from 1 species